rnacentral:rRNA from 1 species
GACGAGUGGCGGAACGGGUGAGUAAUGCAGUACGGAACGUCGACCAAGUCGGUGGGGAUAACGUAGACGAAAGUUACGCUAAUACCGCAUAAGCCCUGAGGGGGAAAGUGGGGGACCGCAAGGCCUCACGCGAAUGGAGCGGCCGAUGUCAGAUUAGCUAGUUGGUGGGGUAAAGGCCCACCAAGGCGACGAUCUGUAGCGGGUCUGAGAGGAUGAUCCGCCACACUGGGACUGAGACACGGCCCAGACUCCUACGGGAGGCAGCAGUGGGGAAUUUUGGACAAUGGGCGCAAGCCUGAUCCAGCCAUGCCGCGUGCGGGACGAAGGCCUUCGGGUUGUAAACCGCUUUCAGCCGGAAAGAAAUCGCCGUUUUUAAUACAGACGGUGGAUGACGGUACCGGAAGAAGAAGCACCGGCUAACUACGUG